GGGUCCUGCUUCCUCUUCCCUCUGUUUCUUCCACCUGCCUUGCUGCUGGUGAGGAUCCUUGAGAAGGAAACAAAGCUCUUUCUUCCCUCUCUGGGAGGAAAGAAGAUGAAGUGAGUUGCCCUCAGCCACCCAGAGUGUGCCUGGCUGUGGCUGUGGACGGCAGAGGCAGGUGGAAGGCCUCUGAGGGUAAGGGGAGGGAAAGGAGGGAACAGGGUGCUUGAGGAAGAAAGGUGGGUGUCUGGGCUUCCUGGGAUCCAGCGGGUCCUGCUGCCUCUCCCAAAGUGGACACACAGCUCACCUGAUGUUGAAGCACUUUCCUGGCAUUGGGAGCUGCUGGUUCAUCCUGAGGAGUCUGGGGACUGGGCCUAGUUUUACAGAUGGAGAAGCUGAGACCUAGCUCUAUUGAAGCUUCCUUGGGUCCUACAACACCUGUGAGGACACUGCUAUCAACCUCAUGGUGCUCUGAAGGGGCCAGGGCUACCAUAAGAUCAGGGACAAGGCCACAUUGGAUGGGAAUUUCCUGUGUUCUGUGACAGCUGCUGUGGAAACCUGGCCAGAUGUCCCCACGAAAAAAUCCUAUUUCCUGUGCUCCUUGCCCUCCUGACCAUCACAGCUGGAUUCCUAGCCAUUACUGCAACCUCUGGCUGCAGAGCAAACACACUGUUCCAUGGAGGUCAGUGCUAGCAGGGC
rnacentral:lncRNA from 1 species